rnacentral:rRNA from 1 species
UACAGAGGGUGCGAGCGUUAAUCGGAAUUACUGGGCGUAAAGCGCGCGUAGGCGGCUUUGUAAGUCGGAUGUGAAAUCCCCGGGCUCAACCUGGGAACUGCAUUUGUGACUGCACAGCUGGAGUGCGGCAGAGGGGGAUGGAAUUCCGCGUGUAGCAGUGAAAUGCGUAGAUAUGCGGAGGAACACCGAUGGCGAAGGCAAUCCCCUGGGCCUGCACUGACGCUCAUGCACGAAAGCGUGGGGAGCAAACAGG